UACAGGGGGUGCAAACGUUGCUCGGAAUCAUUGGGCGUAAAGCGCACGUAGGCGGUUCGUUAUGUCGGAUGUGAAAGCCCUUGGCUUAACCGAGGAAGUGCAUCCGAAACUGGCGAGCUAGAGUACGAAAGAGGAUCGCGGAAUUCCCGGUGUAGAAGUGAAAUUCGUAGAUAUCGGGAGGAACACCGGUGGCGAAGGCGGCGAUCUGGGUCGAUACUGACGCUGAGGUGCGAAAGCGUGGGGAGCAAACAGG
rnacentral:rRNA from 1 species